GAUGGUCAAGAUGACUGCUGAAUUAAUGGAGUCCAAAGGUCCUUCAAACAUUCAUGCUAAUUUUUCAAUGUUCUGUUUGUUUUUUUGUUCCAGAAGGUUGUCAUUCCCCAGUGCAGAUCCUUUCUUAGUUUCUGGAUUGGACUAAAAAGAACCCUAAGCAGGAAUGGAUGUGGAUUGAUGAGCGACCUGCUGAUCCCACCUGGAUGAAUAAAACUGAUCAAGACAAAGAAUGCGCCUUCUUAGAAAAAGAGUCAAUAACCAGUCAAAACUGCAGCCUUGAAAAACACUGGAUCUGUAAGAUGAGAGCCAAACAUCCGUAGUCUAAUCAGAGGAACAAUCGUCACAAAUAAGUUACGGAGACAUGGUCAUUUUUCCUUUUCUGUCACAACCCUCUCCCUUUUAAAGCAAAAAUGCUUUCUGGACUGAGUUUUCUUUAGCAGCACCUCAUGUGAAGUCCCAGAGCAGUUUGUAAGAAGUGGACAACACAGCACCACACAAGCAUAGAAAUAACCGAUGCCGAUCAGAGCCGCACAAGAAGACAGGAGUGUGUAGACAACAAGGCCUCCUGUGCUCUGAAGCAGCACUUUAUUCACAUGGCCAGCAUCUCCUGGUCUUAUUGUGUUUUAUUGGACUCAUAAACUGUAUAUAUUUUGGAAUGUUGUAUGGUGGAGGGUUCAUGUUUUCUAUGUGUUGCAAAAAUAAAAAAACAACAACA